GAGGUGUCCCGGCUUGCUUUUCCGCCCUGACAGCUGCCGUCACAGUGCAAGCAGCUCCAAACUUUUUGACGGCAGCUCGAUUUCUUUUUGCCAUGGGGAAGAGGAAGCUGUUGUCUUUGCUCUCAGUUGAUGGCGCAUAUUAAAUGACUUUACACUCCCUUUGGCCUGAGCCAUAAAACCUUUGAGCCGUGGCUCUAGUAGGCCUGAAGCCCAGCAUCAUAACUGUUUAAUCUUAGACCACACACACACACACACACACACACACACACAGACACACACACACACAGAGGUUUCUGGACUGGCUUGCAGUGGACAACCCUGGUGAAAUCGGUCAGAGCUUUUUUUAUUUUUUAGAAAUUUGACUCUUUUUGCAUAAGACUAUAUGGAAAAAGUCAUACCGGUAUUUGGUUAACAAUGUCAGGAGGAACAAUGGCUUAGCUGGAUGAAAAGAAACGAACCUUUUGUGUAAGGUGCUAAUCAAAAACUAGAACCAGUGGUAGGUUGUUAUUGCUUUACUGAACAGAUUUGUGCUCAGAUGUACUUUUACACUGUGGGUGUGUGGUUUCCUUUUUUUUUUUUUCUUUUUUUCUUUUUUUUUUUAAUACUAAUGCUGCUGAUUAAAGAUGGAAGGCGAGAAUCCUCUUGAAGUCCAUGAAGUAGGUCAUAGAGGACGGUGGGAUGAAUAGGAAACCUUAUCCAUCUUAGUACCGGACCACACCUUUGUAGAUCAAGUGUUCAGUCAUAUUCUCACUAUCAGGCCAGCACACAGGCAGGUAUGGCAACAGGAUUAUUUCAGACUGUAAAGGUCAGCAGACCAUGUGCAAUCUAGAUUUACUCAUAUCAAAAUUUUCUGGUAGCUUAGUGCUUUAAGCCACUUGAAAGUGAUGUAAUAUUUGCAACUUUCUUUUCAUACUUUCUUUAGAGAGGACGGGCCUUUUGCAGGCCUUACUUGCAGAGACGGCCCUGUGCGCUUUACUUUUUUGAAGCAUAUGUCUCUCAUUAUACGUAUAACAGGCUGAAUGUAAUGUUUACAAGAAACUGCUUUAUCUACCUCAAAGGUCAAAUGCUGAAAGAUGAUGUCAGCGUUUCAGCAUAAAAACAGAGUUAAUUUUACACUCGACUCCAGUCUUCGUACAGAGAAAUCAUUCACUGAAGCUGAAAAAAGGCCUUUUUUUUUUCUUUUUUUUUUUUUUAAAUUGACAGGAGCCCCAAAAACCCAGAAUGCAGUGCUGCUAGGGAUCCACCAAUUUAUCCAAGUUUUACAUCAUCCAGCAGUUAUUUAUACUGUACAAGUCAAUUUAUGUUACGUUAUUUAGAACAGGUAAAAUGCUUCAGAGAGCUCUAGUCUCCUUACCAGUCGGCAGAUAUCGUCCAGUCACAAAUUUAACAUUAUUGCUCAUGUUUACUUGGAUACUGUCAAAACUUUUUUUUUAAAGAACAUAAAGCAGAAGGACAUGUUUGGAGAGUAAUUUAGAUAACGCAUGAUCACAUAGCUUAUCCUAAUUGCAAAAGCUGCAGCAAAGUAGCAUCACAGCUGAGCAAACGGUGGAGUCAAACAGUGCGUCAGUGCU
ensembl:lncRNA